UACAGAGGCGGCAAGCGUUGUUCGGAUUUACUGGGCGUAAAGGGUGCGUAGGCGGUUCCGUAUGUCGGAUGUGAAAGCCCACAGCUCAACUGUGGAACGGCAUUCGAAACUACGGGGCUGGAGUACGAGAGAGGAGAGCGGAAUUCUUGGUGUAGCAGUGAAAUGCGUAGAUAUCAAGAAGAACACCGGUGGCGAAGGCGGCUCUCUGGAUCGAUACUGACGCUGAGGCACGAAAGCAGGGGGAG
rnacentral:rRNA from 1 species